rnacentral:rRNA from 1 species
GUGGGGAAUAUUGGACAAUGGGCGAAAGCCUGAUCCAGCCAUGCCGCGUGUGUGAAGAAGGUCUUCGGAUUGUAAAGCACUUUAAGUUGGGAGGAAGGGCAGUAAGUUAAUACCUUGCUGUUUUGACGUUACCGACAGAAUAAGCACCGGCUAACUUCGUGCCAGCAGCCGCGGUAAUACGAAGGGUGCAAGCGUUAAUCGGAAUUACUGGGCGUAAAGCGCGCGUAGGUGGUUUUGUAAGUUGGAGGUGAAAUCCCCGGGCUCAACCUGGGAACUGCCUCCAAAACUGCAUGGCUAGAGUACGGUAGAGGAUAGUGGAAUUUCCUGUGUAGCGGUGAAAUGCGUAGAUAUAGGAAGGAACACCAGUGGCGAAGGCGACUACCUGGGCUGAUACUGACACUGAGGUGCGAAAGCGUGGGGAGCAAACAGGAUUAGAAACCCUUGUAGUCC